rnacentral:rRNA from 1 species
GGGUUGUGAGGUUAAGCGACUAAGCGUACACGGUGGAUGCCCUGGCAGUCAGAGGCGAUGAAGGACGUGCUAAUCUGCGAUAAGCGUCGGUGAGGUGAUAUGAACCGUUAUAACCGGCGAUUUCCGAAUGGGGAAACCCAGUGUGUUUCGACACACUAUCAUUAACUGAAUCCAUAGGUUAAUGAGGCGAACCGGGGGAACUGAAACAUCUAAGUACCCGAGGAAAAGAAAUCAACCGAGAUUCCCCAGUAGCGGCGAGCGAACGGGGAGGAGCCCAGAGCCUGAAUCAGUGUGUGUGUUAGUGGAAGCGUCUGGAAAGGCGCGCGAUACAGGGUGACAGCCCCGUACACAAAAAUGCACAUAUUGUGAGCUCGAUGAGUAGGGCGGGACACGUGGUAUCCUGUCUGAAUAUGGGGGGACCAUCCUCCAAGGCUAAAUACUCCUGACUGACCGAUAGUGAACCAGUACCGUGAGGGAAAGGCGAAAAGAACCCCGGCGAGGGGAGUGAAAAAGAACCUGAAACCGUGUACGUACAAGCAGUGGGAGCCUCUUAAUGGGGUGACUGCGUACCUUUUGUAUAAUGGGUCAGCGACUUAUAUUCUGUAGCAAGGUUAACCGAAUAGGGGAGCCGAAGGGAAACCGAGUCUUAACUGGGCGUUAAGUUGCAGGGUAUAGACCCGAAACCCGGUGAUCUAGCCAUGGGCAGGUUGAAGGUUGGGUAACACUAACUGGAGGACCGAACCGACUAAUGUUGAAAAAUUAGCGGAUGACUUGUGGCUGGGGGUGAAAGGCCAAUCAAACCGGGAGAUAGCUGGUUCUCCCCGAAAGCUAUUUAGGUAGCGCCUCGUGAAUUCAUCUCCGGGGGUAGAGCACUGUUUCGGCAAGGGGGUCAUCCCGACUUACCAACCCGAUGCAAACUGCGAAUACCGGAGAAUGUUAUCACGGGAGACACACGGCGGGUGCUAACGUCCGUCGUGAAGAGGGAAACAACCCAGACCGCCAGCUAAGGUCCCAAAGUCAUGGUUAAGUGGGAAACGAUGUGGGAAGGCCCAGACAGCCAGGAUGUUGGCUUAGAAGCAGCCAUCAUUUAAAGAAAGCGUAAUAGCUCACUGGUCGAGUCGGCCUGCGCGGAAGAUGUAACGGGGCUAAACCAUGCACCGAAGCUGCGGCAGCGACACUAUGUGUUGUUGGGUAGGGGAGCGUUCUGUAAGCCUGUGAAGGUGUACUGUGAGGUAUGCUGGAGGUAUCAGAAGUGCGAAUGCUGACAUAAGUAACGAUAAAGCGGGUGAAAAGCCCGCUCGCCGGAAGACCAAGGGUUCCUGUCCAACGUUAAUCGGGGCAGGGUGAGUCGACCCCUAAGGCGAGGCCGAAAGGCGUAGUCGAUGGGAAACAGGUUAAUAUUCCUGUACUUGGUGUUACUGCGAAGGGGGGACGGAGAAGGCUAUGUUGGCCGGGCGACGGUUGUCCCGGUUUAAGCGUGUAGGCUGGUUUUCCAGGCAAAUCCGGAAAAUCAAGGCUGAGGCGUGAUGACGAGGCACUACGGUGCUGAAGCGACAAAUGCCCUGCUUCCAGGAAAAGCCUCUAAGCAUCAGGUAACAUCAAAUCGUACCCCAAACCGACACAGGUGGUCAGGUAGAGAAUACCAAGGCGCUUGAGAGAACUCGGGUGAAGGAACUAGGCAAAAUGGUGCCGUAACUUCGGGAGAAGGCACGCUGAUAUGUAGGUGAAGCGACUUGCUCGUGGAGCUGAAAUCAGUCGAAGAUACCAGCUGGCUGCAACUGUUUAUUAAAAACACAGCACUGUGCAAACACGAAAGUGGACGUAUACGGUGUGACGCCUGCCCGGUGCCGGAAGGUUAAUUGAUGGGGUUAGCGGUAACGCGAAGCUCUUGAUCGAAGCCCCGGUAAACGGCGGCCGUAACUAUAACGGUCCUAAGGUAGCGAAAUUCCUUGUCGGGUAAGUUCCGACCUGCACGAAUGGCGUAAUGAUGGCCAGGCUGUCUCCACCCGAGACUCAGUGAAAUUGAACUCGCUGUGAAGAUGCAGUGUACCCGCGGCAAGACGGAAAGACCCCGUGAACCUUUACUAUAGCUUGACACUGAACAUUGAGCCUUGAUGUGUAGGAUAGGUGGGAGGCUUUGAAGUGUGGACGCCAGUCUGCAUGGAGCCGACCUUGAAAUACCACCCUUUAAUGUUUGAUGUUCUAACGUGGGCCCCUUACCGGGGUUGCGGACAGUGUCUGGUGGGUAGUUUGACUGGGGCGGUCUCCUCCUAAAGAGUAACGGAGGAGCACGAAGGUUGGCUAAUCCUGGUCGGACAUCAGGAGGUUAGUGCAAUGGCAUAAGCCAGCUUGACUGCGAGCGUGACGGCGCGAGCAGGUGCGAAAGCAGGUCAUAGUGAUCCGGUGGUUCUGAAUGGAAGGGCCAUCGCUCAACGGAUAAAAGGUACUCCGGGGAUAACAGGCUGAUACCGCCCAAGAGUUCAUAUCGACGGCGGUGUUUGGCACCUCGAUGUCGGCUCAUCACAUCCUGGGGCUGAAGUAGGUCCCAAGGGUAUGGCUGUUCGCCAUUUAAAGUGGUACGCGAGCUGGGUUUAGAACGUCGUGAGACAGUUCGGUCCCUAUCUGCCGUGGGCGCUGGAGAACUGAGGGGGGCUGCUCCUAGUACGAGAGGACCGGAGUGGACGCAUCACUGGUGUUCGGGUUGUCAUGCCAAUGGCACUGCCCGGUAGCUAAAUGCGGAAGAGAUAAGUGCUGAAAGCAUCUAAGCACGAAACUUGCCCCGAGAUGAGUUCUCCCUGACUCCUUGAGAGUCCUGAAGGAACGUUGAAGACGACGACGUUGAUAGGCCGGGUGUGUAAGCGCAGCGAUGCGUUGAGCUAACCGGUACUAAUGAACCGUGAGGCUUAACCUUACAACGCCGAAG